rnacentral:lncRNA from 1 species
GUACAGGAGGGGAAAUCACUUACCAGAGAACUCUGUGUUUGCACCCCUCAGUGAUGAUGAGUCUGUGAAAGAAUCAGCCUGGAGACAGAACCAGCUCUUUGGAUUUAAAGAGAUGUGGAGUCAGCAGUCGGUCUCCCUGUUACUCGCCAAGGCAGACAGAGUCCCAACAGGUCUGAAGAGGAAGAUGCAGCCAAAAAGAAGGAAUAUCUGAACAAUCAGUCCUUGAAGAUCAGUGAUGUCAACCUAGUCUCAGGCUCAGCAAGCACAGAGCGCCCCAAGACCUCUCACACCAGACCUCUCCAGCCCAGAAGUACUUUGACUAGAGAAGAAGCAAACCCUCUUCAGGAGAAAAGGUCUGUUUUAUGUGCCACAGAGGAGGAAAGUAAAAACCAGCCCGCCCCAUCUGAGGGCAGCUCCUUACACCAAGCCCUCAAAAGAGGGCAUGCCACUCGCAGUACCCGCCGUGAUGUUUGGUCGCAGACUGAGAGCUCUGUCCCAGAAGCAGAGAAGGUGGAUGUCGCCACCCAGUGUGGCAGGAUGCGGGUGUGCAGCUGUGGGGGCUCCCGCCCCUCUGUUCGCAGCCCGGGGGGGAUCCCCCCUCCCAGCACUGCGAGCACCGCUGGAGGGCACAAAAUGCCGGCCCGUGAGGGGCUGCAGCCUGCGGGCACGGGCAGCGCCGCCGCAACAGCGGCAUCAGCUGAACCCGAGUAUCUGAGCUUGGUUGGCAGGAGGACUCUAGAGGUGCUGAACUUUGUUGAAAUAAUAAAGGAGAGAGAUAAGCACUGACCAGCUAGAAUGGCUUGUAAGUAAUAGAGAAGUUUUGUCCUGUUCUCAGUGUGUUUCAUUUAAUUGGAAUAUCUUGAGUUUUUUCUAGCCUGGUUAGACAAAAUAUUUGUUUGCUGUUUGUUUGCUUUACAUUAGUAUUAACUAUAGAUCUCUAUCUACCGACUGCUACCUAUAAGUAUGGAUUUCUAUAGAUCUCUAACAGUUAACACAGGAUUUUACAAUAGCCUGGUAAAUGUAAACCUUAAGAAUUAGAUUGGCUUCCCCACCAUAUAUCCACAGGAUUCUGUAGGUUGGGAUUGACUUUGCUUCUCUUGAAGGGAGUGGAUAGAUUCUGUUUCACUUCAAAACAUACUUGAUGUGGCUCUUAGUUCAGAACUGUUGUCUGAUUCUUAUCCAUUUUAACAGACAAGCUACCCACUGCUGUAUGUUUGUUCUAAGUACAAAAAUGGGAAACAACAGAAAAUCUACAACUGCAAACAUAGAAUGUAACUUUAAAAGAACUAACUUAAUACUUUUUACAAAACUAGCGCUUAAUUUUCCUUCCAUAGCAGUUCUACUGAUUCAUUCUGUGGCUGUUAACACUGACGAAUCUUUUAUGUGUUUGUAUUUUGCCUGCAGACUGAAAAUCUGAAAUGCUUUCC